rnacentral:rRNA from 1 species
GAUGAACGCUGGCGGCGUGCUUAACACAUGCAAGUCGAACGAAGAUGCCGGAGUGCUUGCACUUUGGCAGACUGAGUGGCGGACGGGUGAGUAACGCGUGGGUAACCUGCCUUAUACAGGGGGAUAACAGUUGGAAACGACUGCUAAUACCGCAUAAGCGCACGGUAUCGCAUGAUACAGUGUGAAAAACUCCGGUGGUAUAAGAUGGACCCGCGUCUGAUUAGCUAGUUGGUGAGGUAACGGCCCACCAAGGCGACGAUCAGUAGCCGGCCUGAGAGGGUGAACGGCCACAUUGGGACUGAGACACGGCCCAAAACUCCUACGGGAGGCAGCAGUGGGGAAUAUUGCACAAUGGGGGAAACCCUGAUGCAGCGACGCCGCGUGAGUGAUGAAGUAUUUCGGUAUGUAAAACUCUAUCAGCAGGGAAGAUAAUGACGGUACCUGACUAAGAAGCACCGGCUAAAAUACGUG